GUAGUCCGCACCGUAAACGAUGGAUACUAGGCGUUCGGAGAGUUAACCCUCUGAGUGCCAAAGUUCACACAUUAAGUAUCCCGCCUGGGAAGUACGGUCGCAAGACUAAAACUCAAAGGAAUUGACGGGGGCCCGCACAAGCGGUGGAGUAUGUGGUUUAAUUCGAAGCAACGCGCAGAACCUUACCUGGCCUUGACAUCGCGAGACCGGUGCAGAGAUGCAUCUUUCCCUUCGGGGACUCGUAGACAGGUGCUGCAUGGCUGUCGUCAGCUCGUGUUGUGAAAUGUUCGGUUAAGUCCGGCAACGAGCGCAACCCCUGUUCUCAGUUACCAGCAUUAAGUUGGGGACUCUGGGAAGACCGCCGGUGUUAAACCGGAG
rnacentral:rRNA from 1 species